rnacentral:rRNA from 2 species
UGGAGAGUUUGAUCCUGGCUCAGGAUGAACGCUAGCGGCAGGCCUAAUACAUGCAAGUCGGACGGGAUUCGGGACAGAGCUUGCUUUGUCCUGAUGAGAGUGGCGCACGGGUGCGUAACGCGUGAGCAACCUGCCCCUGUCAGGGGUAUAGCCCCUCGAAAGAGGGAUUAACACCGCAUGACGAUAUCCCCCGGCAUCGGGGGGUGUCCAAAUAUUCAUAGGACAGGGAUGGGCUCGCGUGGCAUUAGCUAGUUGGUUGGGUAACGGCUGACCAAGGCUACGAUGCCUAGGGGCUCUGAGAGGAGAAUCCCCCACACUGGUACUGAGACACGGACCAGACUCCUACGGGAGGCAGCAGUAAGGAAUAUUGGUCAAUGGAGGGAACUCUGAACCAGCCAUGCCGCGUGCAGGAGGAAGGCCCUACGGGUCGUAAACUGCUUUUGCCGGGGAACAACCCUAUCUACGUGUAGGUAGCUGAGUGUACCCGGAGAAUAAGGAUCGGCUAACUCCGUGCCAGCAGCCGCGGUAAUACGGAGGAUCCGAGCGUUAUCCGGAUUUAUUGGGUUUAAAGGGUGCGUAGGCGGCUUUCUAAGUCAGGGGUGAAAUACAGCGGCUCAACCGUUGCAGUGCCUUUGAUACUGGGGGGCUUGAAUGUGGUCGAAGGCGGCGGAAUGGGACAAGUAGCGGUGAAAUGCAUAGAUAUGUCCCAGAACCCCGAUAGCGAAGGCAGCUGCCUAGGCCAUAAUUGACGCUGAUGCACGAAAGCGUGGGGAUCGAACAGGAUUAGAUACCCUGGUAGUCCACGCCCUAAACGAUGGUGGCUCGGUGUCGGCGAUAUACAGUCGGUGCCCAAGCGAAAGCGUUAAGCCACCCACCUGGGGAGUACGCCCGCAAGGGUGAAACUCAAAGGAAUUGACGGGGGCCCGCACAAGCGGAGGAGCAUGUGGUUUAAUUCGAUGAUACGCGAGGAACCUUACCCGGGCUUGAAAGUUAGUGAAUUGGCCAGAGAUGGCCAAGUGAUUUAUCACACGAAACUAGGUGCUGCAUGGCUGUCGUCAGCUCGUGCCGUGAGGUGUUGGGUUAAGUCCCGCAACGAGCGCAACCCCUGUGGAUAGUUGCCAUCACGUUAAGGUGGGGACUCUAUCCGGACUGCCAGCGUAAGCUGUGAGGAAGGUGGGGACGACGUCAAGUCAUCAUGGCCCUUACGUCCGGGGCUACACACGUGCUACAAUGGCCGGUACAGAGGGCAGCCAUCCAGCAAUGGAGCGCGAAUCCCUUAAAGCCGGUCACAGUUCGGAUCGGGGCCUGCAACUCGGCCCCGUGAAGUUGGAUUCGCUAGUAAUCGCGUAUCAGCAAUGACGCGGUGAAUACGUUCCCGGGCCUUGUACACACCGCCCGUCAAGCCAUGAAAGCCGGGGGUGCCUGAAGCGUGUUGCCGCGAGGAUCGCGUUAGGGCAAUACCGGUAAUUGGGGCUAAGUCGUAACAAGGUAGCCGUACCGGAAGGUGCGGCUGGAAUACCUCCUUUCU